UACGUAGGGGGCUAGCGUUGUCCGGAUUUAUUGGGCGUAAAGAGCGUGUAGGCGGCCAGGUAGGUCUGCUGUGAAAACUCGAGGCUCAACCUCGAGACGUCGGCGGAAACCAUCUGGCUAGAGUCCGGAAGAGGAGAGUGGAAUUCCUGGUGUAGCGGUGAAAUGCGCAGAUAUCAGGAAGAACACCUAUGGCGAAGGCAGCUCUCUGGGACGGUACUGACGCUGAUGAGACGAAAGGCGUAAGGGG
rnacentral:rRNA from 1 species